UAUGGCGAAAUUGGUAGACGCUACGGACUUAAAAUCCGUCGACUUUUAAAAUCGUGAGG
rnacentral:tRNA from 1 species